AGUCGAACGGAAUCCGCAAGGAUUUAGUGGCGGACGGGUGAGUAACGCGUGAGAAUCUGCCUUCAGGUCGGGGACAACAGCUGGAAACGGCUGCUAAGACCCGAUGUGCUUAAAAGUGAAAGGUUUACUGCCUGAAGAUGAGCUCGCGUCCGAUUAGCUAGUUGGUGGGGUAAUGGCCUACCAAGGCGUCGAUCGGUAACUGGUCUGAGAGGACGACCAGUCACACUGGGACUGAGACACGGCCCAGACUCCUACGGGAGGCAGCAGUGGGGAAUUUUCCGCAAUGGGCGAAAGCCUGACGGAGCAAGACCGCGUGAGGGAUGAAGGCUCUUGGGUUGUAAACCUCUUUUCUCAGGGGAAGAAACCUGACGGGUACCUGAGGGAAUAAGCAUCGGCUAACUCCGUGCCAGCAGCCGCGGUAAUACGGAGGAUGCAAGCGUUAUCCGGAAUUAUUGGGCGUAAAGCGUUCGCAGGUGGCUGUUCAAGUCUGCUGUCAAAGACCGGGGCUUAACCCUAGAAAGGCAGUGGAAACUGAGCGGCUAGAGUGCAGUAUGGGUAGAGGGAAUCCCAGUGUAGCGGUGAAAUGCGUAGAGAUUGGGAAGAACACCGGUGGCGAAAGCGCUCUGCUGGACUGCAACUGACACUGAGGGACGAAAGCUAGGGGAGCGAAAGGGAUUAGAUACCCCUGUAGUCCUAGCCGUAAACGAUGGAUACUAGGCGUUGCCGGGCUCGACCCUGGCAGUGUCGGAGCUAACGCGUUAAGUAUCCCGCCUGGGAAGUACGCACGCAAGUGUGAAACUCAAAGGAAUUGACGGGGGCCCGCACAAGCGGUGGAGUAUGUGGUUUAAUUCGAUGCAACGCGAAGAACCUUACCAGGGCUUGACAUGUCGCGAAUCCCGGUGAAAGCUGGGAGUGCCUUCGGGAGCGCGAACACAGGUGGUGCAUGGCUGUCCGUCAGCUCGGUGUCGUGAGAUGUUGGGUUAAGUCCCGCAACGAGCGCAACCCUCGUUUUU
rnacentral:rRNA from 1 species